GACGAACGCUGGCGGCGUGCUUAACACAUGCAAGUCGAACGGAAAGGCCCUGCUUUUGUGGGGUGCUCGAGUGGCGAACGGGUGAGUAACACGUGAGUAACCUGCCCUUGACUUUGGGAUAACUUCAGGAAACUGGGGCUAAUACCGGAUAGGAGCUCCUGCUGCAUGGUGGGGGUUGGAAAGUUUCGGCGGUUGGGGAUGGACUCGCGGCUUAUCAGCUUGUUGGUGGGGUAGUGGCUUACCAAGGCUUUGACGGGUAGCCGGCCUGAGAGGGUGACCGGCCACAUUGGGACUGGGAUGCGGCCCAGACUCCUACGGGAGGCAGCAGUGGGGAAUAUUGCACAAUGGGCGGAAGCCUGAUGCAGCAACGCCGCGUGCGGGAUGACGGCCUUCGGGUUGUAAACCGCUUUCGCCUAUGACGAAGCGUGAGUGACGGUAAUGGGUAAAGAAGCACCGGCUAACUACGUG
rnacentral:rRNA from 1 species